AGGGGCUCACCAUGGAGGCUGUUUCUUGGCUGUGAUCAGACAUUUCCUAGAAUGAGCAUUAAUAUUAGAAGAAAAAAUUAUGGAGUUCUGACUAUAAAAUAAAAAUCCACACUAAGAAUUUUAUUUUUAGAAACCCUAGGAUUUACCCUGUUUCUGCUUACAAGUGUACACCUCUGACCUGGCGCUGGUGCCCCUUGACACAGGCAUACUCAAGCCUGCUAGGUACUUUGUGGUUUAGUGUCAAUAAUCAAUGCUCCAGAUGGUUGAAGGCUCUCAACAUCUUUUCGGAAUCAACUAUUUCACAAGACCAUAUGGAGGUUGGAAGACAGAGUCUGGCUACACUUGAAUCACUGUGUAUAUGCUUGAUAAGCAAUAUCAUAAUUAAGCGUGGAUAACAGCAAUAAGCUCUGUUGUCUUUAUUGAGAAUUGAGAAAGAAAUUANNNAGUGAUGAAUUUUGAGGCUGCCACAGGUACAUAUCCAUCAGAGCACACGGCCUACUUCAUCCCAGUUUUUCUCUGAUACUGCUAUUGUCAGGGGAAGAUGACAGGCACCUCACUGUUGCAUCUCUUUUAUAUACUCCCAGCACAAUGGAAUGGAGAAGUCCUUGGCUGGAAAGCUGCUCCUGGGAUCAGUCAGUAUUCUACUGACUCAACUACCAUAAUCCAUUGAAACUGAGAAAUGAGUGACACUGGCAGUUUCAUGGAAACUAUGGUUGAGUGAUACAGAAUAU
rnacentral:lncRNA from 1 species